GCUUGGUAUAAAAUUUAUGAAUGUGGAGAAUAAUUUACAUUCUUUGGGUCAUCGAUAACGUCAGACGGAAAAUUUAUUCACGAAUGCGAGCCGUAUAUGGUCAUUCAAAGAAAAACUCAGUGUGACAGUGAGGUUAAAAAAGCGGGUGUUUCUAGUUAAUCGAGUUAAAAAGCAAAUGACGUCGAAGAUUCCGGAAGAUUCUUCCUGUGGAGCGAACUGAAAAUGAUUGUCACGUGACCGCAUUUGUGCGUUACAUGACGUGCAGUGUCAAGACAAGACAAUAUAUAAUUGUGUGAAGAAAAACUUUUGCAUUCUGGUUGCAUUCUAAAUCGCUCACUUAUACUUUGCAUACAAAUUAUCUUCAAUCAUGUAUUCUUUUGCACAAGACAACGAGCAUAUGGCUGAAUUGCAAGGAUUUAGGAACUUAUUUUGUAAUUUAAAUUGGGAAAACUAUGCUUUAUUAAACAUCGAGUGGUCUUUUGACUUUCUCAAUUCCUGUAA